rnacentral:rRNA from 1 species
AUUGAACGCUGGCGGCAUGCCUUACACAUGCAAGUCGAACGGCAGCGGGCCUUCGGGUGCCGGCGAGUGGCGAACGGGUGAGUAAUGCAUCGGAACGUGCCAUUGAGUGGGGGAUAACGUAGCGAAAGUUGCGCUAAUACCGCAUAUUCUGUGAGCAGGAAAGCAGGGGACCGCAAGGCCUUGCGCUCUUUGAGCGGCCGAUGUCAGAUUAGCUAGUUGGUGAGGUAAAGGCUUACCAAGGCGACGAUCUGUAGCGGGUCUGAGAGGAUGAUCCGCCACACUGGAACUGAGACACGGUCCAGACUCCUACGGGAGGCAGCAGUGGGGAAUUUUGGACAAGUGGGGGCAACCCUGAUCCAGCCAUGCCGCGUGAGUGAAGAAGGCCU